rnacentral:rRNA from 1 species
UGGGGAAUAUUGGACAAUGGGCGAAAGCCUGAUCCAGCCAUGCCGCGUGUGUGAAGAAGGCCUUUUGGUUGUAAAGCACUUUAAGCGAGGAGGAGGCUACUUGGAUUAAUACUCUAGGAUAGUGGACGUUACUCGCAGAAUAAGCACCGGCUAACUCUGUGCCAGCAGCCGCGGUAAUACAGAGGGUGCGAGCGUUAAUCGGAUUUACUGGGCGUAAAGCGUGCGUAGGCGGCUUCUUAAGUCGGAUGUGAAAUCCCUGAGCUUAACUUAGGAAUUGCAUUCGAUACUGGGAAGCUAGAGUAUGGGAGAGGAUAGUAGAAUUCCAGGUGUAGCGGUGAAAUGCGUAGAGAUCAGGAGGAAUACCGAUGGCGAAGGCAGCCAUCUGGCCUAAUACUGACGCUGAGGUACGAAAGCAUGGGGAGCAAACAGG